UCGAGUUUUGACGCAGUUGCGCCCGAAGCCUUUCGGCCGAGGGCACGCCUGCCUGGGUGUCA
rnacentral:rRNA from 1 species